GAUGAACGCUGGCGGCGUGCUUAACACAUGCAAGUCGAACGGUGAAGGCGGAGCUUGCUCUGCUGGAUCAGUGGCGAACGGGUGAGUAACACGUGAGCAAUCUGCCCCUGACUCUGGGAUAAGCGCUGGAAACGGCGUCUAAUACUGGAUACGAGCUGCGAAGGCAUCUUCAGCAGCUGGAAAGAAGUUCGGUCAGGGAUGAGCUCGCGGCCUAUCAGCUUGUUGGUGAGGCAAUGGCUCACCAAGGCGUCGACGGGUAGCCGGCCUGAGAGGGUGACCGGCCACACUGGGACUGAGACACGGCCCAGACUCCUACGGGAGGCAGCAGUGGGGAAUAUUGCACAAUGGGCGAAAGCCUGAUGCAGCAACGCCGCGUGAGGGACGACGGCCUUCGGGUUGUAAACCUCUUUUAGCAGGGAAGAAGCGAAAGUGACGGUACCUGCAGAAAAAGCGCCGGCUAACUACGUG
rnacentral:rRNA from 1 species